rnacentral:rRNA from 1 species
UGGGGAAUAUUGGACAAUGGGCGCAAGCCUGAUCCAGCCAUGCCGCGGGAGUGAUGAAGGCCCUAGGGUUGCAAAGCUCUUUCACCGGUGAAGAUAAUGACGGUAACCGGAGAAGAAGCCCCGGCUAACUUCGUGCCAGCAGCCGCGGUAAUACGAAGGGGGCUAGCGUUGUUCGGAUUUACUGGGCGUAAAGCGCACGUAGGCGGACUAUUAAGUCAGGGGUGAAAUCCCGGGGCUCAACCCCGGAACUGCCUUUGAUACUGGUAGUCUUGAGUUCGAGAGAGGUGAGUGGAAUUCCGGGUGUAGAGGUGAAAUUCGUAGAUAUUCGGAGGAACACCAGUGGCGAAGGCGGCUCACUGGCUCGAUACUGACGCUGAGGUGCGAAAGCGUGGGGAGCAAACAGG